AGUGAACGCUGGCGGUAGGCCUAACACAUGCAAGUCGAACGGCAGCACAGUAAGAGCUUGCUCUUACGGGUGGCGAGUGGCGGACGGGUGAGGAAUACAUCGGAAUCUACUUUUUCGUGGGGGAUAACGUAGGGAAACUUACGCUAAUACCGCAUACGACCUACGGGUGAAAGCAGGGGAUCUUCGGACCUUGCGCGAUUGAAUGAGCCGAUGUCGGAUUAGCUAGUUGGCGGGGUAAAGGCCCACCAAGGCGACGAUCCGUAGCUGGUCUGAGAGGAUGAUCAGCCAAAAUGGAAAUGAGACACGGUCCAGACUCCUACGGGAGGCAGCAGUGGGGAAUAUUGGACAAUGGGCGCAAGCCUGAUCCAGCCAUACCGCGUGGGUGAAGAAGGCCUUCGGGUUGUAAAGCCCUUUUGUUGGGAAAGAAAAGCAGCAGGUUAAUAACCCGCUGUUCUGACGGUACCCAAAGAAUAAGCACCGGCUAACUUCGUG
rnacentral:rRNA from 1 species